rnacentral:lncRNA from 1 species
CAGGAGAGGACAGAUGGGUCCAGGUAGUGGAUAAGGAGAGGACAGAUGACAGAUGGGUCCAGGUAGUGGAUCUGGAGAGGACAGAUGGGUCCAGGUUGUGGAUCAGGAGAGGACCGAUGGGUCCAGGUAGUGGAUCAGGAGAGGAUAGAUGACAGAUGGGUCCAGGUAGUGGAUCAGGAGAGGACAGAUGGGUCCAGGUAGUGGAUCAGGAGAGGACCGAUGACAGAUGGGUCCAGGUAGUGGAUCAGGAGAGGAAAGAUGGGUCCAGGUAGUGGAUCAGGAGAGGACCGAUGGGUCCAGGUAGUGGAUCAGGAGAGGACCGAUGACAGAUGGGUCCAGGUAGUGGAUCAGGAGAGGACCGAUGACAGAUGGGUCCAGGUAGUGGAUCAGGAGAGGACAGAUGACAGAUGGGUCCAGGUAGUGGAUCAGGAGAGGACCGAUGACAGAUGGGUCCAGGUAGUGGAUCAGGAGAGGAC